AGGACGAACGCUGGCGGCGUGCUUAACACAUGCAAGUCGAGCGGUGAUCCUCCUUCGGGAGGUGAGCAGCGGCGAACGGGUGAGUAACACGUGGGCAACCUGCCCCUCACACUGGGAUAACCUCGGGAAACCGGGGCUAAUACCGGAUAUGACCUCGAGCGGCAUCUCUUGAGGUGGAAAGCUCCGACGGUGAGGGAUGGGCCCGCGGCCUAUCAGCUUGUUGGUGGGGUAAUGGCCUACCAAGGCGACGACGGGUAGCCGGCCUGAGAGGGCGACCGGCCACACUGGGACUGAGACACGGCCCAGACUCCUACGGGAGGCAGCAGUGGGGAAUAUUGCGCAAUGGGCGAAAGCCUGACGCAGCGACGCCGCGUGAGGGAUGAAGGCCUUCGGGUUGUAAACCUCUUUCAGCAGGGACGAAGCGAAAGUGACGGUACUGCAGAAGAAGCACCGGCUAACUACGCGCCAGCAGCCGCGGUAA
rnacentral:rRNA from 1 species